AUCAAGAGGCUUGCAGAGAGAAUCGAUGUGGUGAAGAGAGAAGCCAUGGCUGAUGGCUCUGUUGUUCUUGAGCUUGUUUAUUUUGUACUGGUCCAAACAGAGCCUAACAGAGAUUGUUUGUGUUUAAUGAGUGCUCGAUUUCUAACUCGGUGGUGUCGUUCUUCUGCAACGAUAAGUGAAGGCGGUUUAUACAGUAUUAAAAAGAAAUAAAGGUUGUUGCAAGUAAAGGUAGCUAUAGACCGCUAUGUUGGAGUCGACAAAUCCAAACACAGGAAAAGAAUAUUGUCUUGACAUGAUAUUCAUGGAUUAUAUCAAUAAAUUAAAUGUUAGUGAUGUAUGUUUGUUGGUUAUUAUUUUAUAAUAUUUGUUUUGUUCUUCGGACA